UACAGAGGGUGCGAGCGUUAAUCGGAAUUACUGGGCGUAAAGCGCGCGUAGGCGGCUUUGCAAGUCGGGUGUGAAAUCCCCAGGCUUAACCUGGGAACUGCAUUCGAGACUGCAUUGCUAGAGUAUGGGAGAGGGAAGUGGAAUUUCCGGUGUAGCGGUGAAAUGCGUAGAUAUCGGAAGGAACACCAGUAGCGAAGGCGGCUCGCUGGGCCAUUCCUGACGCUGAGACGCGAAAGCUAGGGGAGCGAACAGG
rnacentral:rRNA from 1 species